rnacentral:rRNA from 1 species
UACAGAGGUCCCGAGCGUUGUUCGGAUUCAUUGGGCGUAAAGGGUGCGUAGGUGGCGCCGUAAGUGGGGUGUGAAAUCCCGGGGCUUAACCCCGGGACUGCAUUCCAUACUGCGGUGCUUGAGGACUGGAGAGGAGACUGGAAUUCCGUGGUGUAGCGGUGAAAUGCGCAGAUAUCAGGAGGAACACCGGUGGCGAAGGCGGGUCUCUGGGCCGAUGACUGACGUGGAGGAGCGAAA